GAUGAACGCUAGCGACAGGCUUAACACAUGCAAGUCGAGGGGCAUCGGGGUUGUAGCUUGCUAUAACUGCCGGCGACCGGCGCACGGGUGAGUAACACGUAUGCAACCUGCCCGUUGCAGGGGGAUAAGCGGAAGAAAUUCCGUCUAAUACCGCGUAAUAUGGGCGAUAGGCAUCUAUCAUUCAUUAAAGAUUUAUCGGCAACGGAUGGGCAUGCGGUGCAUUAGCUAGUUGGCGGGGUAACGGCCCACCAAGGCGACGAUGCAUAGGGGUUCUGAGAGGAAGGUCCCCCACACUGGAACUGAGACACGGUCCAGACUCCUACGGGAGGCAGCAGUGAGGAAUAUUGGUCAAUGGUCGAGAGACUGAACCAGCCAUGCCGCGUGAAGGAGACGGCCCUAUGGGUCUUAAACUUCUUUUGUAAGGGAGCAAUAAGUCUUACGUGUAGGAUGAUGAGAGUACCUUACGAAUAAGCAUCGGCUAACUCCGUG
rnacentral:rRNA from 1 species